AAGAGUGAUCGUUCAAUGGAUCAUCCAAUCACAUUCAGGGGAGAGUUCGCAGGUGAUCAAAGGGUCCAGGUAGAAAGAGCAGGGUCACCUGUACCCAGCUGUCUGUCUACGAAGAGUGAUAGUUCAAUGGAUCAUCCAAUCACAUUCAGGGGAGAGUUCGCAGGUGAUCAAAGGGUCCAGGUAGAAAGAGCAGGGUCACCUGUACCCAGCUGUCUGUCUAUGAAGAGUGAUA